GAUGAACGCUGGCGGUGUGCCUAAUACAUGCAAGUCGAGCGAACAGACGAGGAGCUUACUCCUCUGACGUUAGCGGCGGACGGGUGAGUAACACGUGGAUAACCUACCUAUAAGACUGGGAUAACUUCGGGAAACCGGAGCUAAUACCGGAUAACAUGUUGAACCGCAUGGUUCAACAGUGAAAGACGGUCUUGCUGUCACUUAUAGAUGGAUCCGCGUCGCAUUAGCUAGUUGGUAAGGUAACGGCUUACCAAGGCAACGAUGCGUAGCCGACCUGAGAGGGUGAUAGGCCACACUGGAACUGAGACACGGUCCAGACUCCUACGGGAGGCAGCAGUAGGGAAUCUUCCGCAAUGGGCGAAAGCCUGACGGAGCAACGCCGCGUGAGUGAAGAAGGUGUUCGGAUCGUAAAACUCUGUUAUUAGGGAAGAACAAAUGUGUAAGUAACUAUGCACGUCUUGACGGUACCUAAUCAGAAAGCCACGGCUAACUACGUG
rnacentral:rRNA from 1 species